rnacentral:miRNA from 1 species
GAGGUGGAAGGAUCACCUGAGCCCAGGAGGUCGAGGUUGCAGUGAGUUGUGAUCAUGCCACUGCACUCCAGCCUGAGUGACAGAGGGAGACCCUGACUCA